AAAGCCGGAUUAAUACSGSAUACGCUCUACGGAGGAAAGGGGGGGAUCUUAGGACCUCUCGCUACRGGGGCGGCCGAUGGCMGAUUASCUWGUUGGUGGGGUAAAGGCCUACSAAGGCGACGAUCUGUAGCUGGUCUGAGAGGACGACCAGSCMCACUGGGACKGAGRCACGGCCCAGACUCCUACGGGAGGCAGCAGUGGGGAAUUUUGGACWAUGGGGGCAACCCUGAUCCASCAAUGCSGCGUGKGUGAAGAAGGCCWUCGGGUUGUAAAGCACUUUUGUCCGGAAAGAAAUCAUCCUGGUUAAUACCCGGGGUGGAUGACGGUACCGGAAGAAUAAGCACCGGCUAACUACGUGCCAGCAGCCGCGGUAAUACGUAGGGUGCAAGCGUUAAUCGGAAUUACUGGGCGUAAAGCGUGCGCAGGCGGUUCGCUAAGACAGAUGUGAAAUCCCCGGGCUUAACCUGGGAACUGCAUUUGUGACUGGCGGGCUAGAGUAUGGCAGAGGGGGGUAGAAUUCCACGUGUAGCAGUGAAAUGCGUAGAGAUGUGGAGGAAUACCGAUGGCGAAGGCAGCCCCCUGGGCCAAUACUGACGCUCAUGCACGAAAGCGUGGGGAGCAAACAGGAUUAGAUACCCUGGUAGUCCACGCCCUAAACGAUGUCAACUAGUUGUCGGGUCUUCAUUGACUUGGUAACGUAGCUAACGCGUGAAGUUGACCGCCU
rnacentral:rRNA from 1 species